rnacentral:rRNA from 1 species
UGGGGGAUAUUGCACAAUGGGGGAAACCCUGAUGCAGCGAUGCCGCGUGAAUGAAGACGGCCUUCGGGUUGUAAAGUUCUGUCGCAGGGGACGAAACUGACGGUACCCUGCAAGAAAGCUCCGGCUAACUACGUGCCAGCAGCCGCGGUAAUACGUAGGGAGCAAGCGUUGUCCGGAAUUACUGGGUGUAAAGGGAGCGUAGGCGGGAGGAUAAGUUGAAUGUGAAAUCUACAGGCUUAACCUGUAUGUGCGUUCAAAACUGUUCUUCUUGAGUGAAGUAGAGGCAGGCGGAAUUCCUAGUGUAGCGGUGAAAUGCGUAGAUAUUAGGAGGAACACCAGUGGCGAAGGCGGCUUACUGGACUGUAACUGACACUGAGGCUCGAAAGCGUGGGGAGCAAACAGGAUUAGAUACCC